CUGGUGAGGCCCAGAGCCUCACCAGUCCCCCAGAAAACGGAGUAUUGUUUCCAUCCAAACCUUGCACUGAAAGGAGCCUGUCAGCAGGAAGUGACCUCGUGAGACAACUGUGGGGAGAGCAAAGGGCCGGGGAGAGAAAGGCCUCAUUCUCACUGCAAACAGGAAAAGGAAAGAGAAAAAGCAAGCUCUGUCUCCACACAAGGUUUGCUGGGCUGGCUAUGAACUGUUCCAGUACGUUCCAUCAAAUAGACGCCUUCAUAGAAUCAAGCCGAGCGCGAACGCCGUGUCUGGGGCUCCCACUCCCGGGACACACACGCGGGCUGGCUUACACAUGCUCUUGCUCUCUCGCGCUCUGGGAGAGCGCUUAUAUGGGCUUCAUGAGGCUAAGUAAUAAACACUUUGUCUUCACCCUGCUAUUUAUGGGUUGCUUGGGGCAUCCUGUGCUCUCCACUGCCCUUACCUGAACAGACGGCUCAUGCAGACCCGGAGUUUAAUAGGGACAACAGUAAAUCUGAGAGGCUGUGUGUGUCCCACGCGCUCCUGUUUUCCCAGCCACCCAUGCUAGUUGCAGAGAAAAGCCAACCUGUAUCCCUUCGUUUAUGCUCUGUGUGCCCUUCCUGGAGAGAUCCCUUCAUUCUUCAGCAAUGGAUCAAAGAACUCUGAAAACAAGAACAACCCCGACAGCUGCAAACCACGAGCCCUCACCUCCAGCAGAGGUUUUCGGGAAACUCUGGACGACCACGCGCAUGCAGAGCUUGGCAGAGCCAGCGUGGGCACACGUGGCAAAGCCAUUUAUGCCUGGGAAUUCCUCUCUGACUGUCAACGCCGCCGCUUCAAAGGACUUCUUGCAGUCAUCCUCUGGCAUUGCCACGGCUGGUGCUGGUUGUGAAUUCUGCACCAGCAACCUCCACCCCCUACAUUGGACUUGAUAAAACAAGCUGCUUCUCAGGUAUGCUAAAGAACAAAUUAAGAAACAGAAUCACCUGGGAUGAGUGAAAUUCCCUUUCAAUCAUGUCAGCCGGAGCAGAGGUUGUCAUGAAAUUUGAUGUUAGGGAUUUAUUUCCUAAUAUACAGUCUAAAAGGGAAAACAGUGUAAGAGCUGAAAUGUGAAUUGGACAUGUCUAUAGAGUGUGAAUUGGAUUCAAGACAAAAUAUUGUGAAUGGUUAAUAGGGUCAGUCUAAGUACACUUCCUGAAAUAAUCUCUUGGAUAUGCAAAUAUUCUGAGAGCUACACUGUCAAAUAGCUAUUGUAUCCUCUUAUCUAUGUGUUCACAGAACGGCUACAUGUUAUAACAAAUGAAAAAUGUGAAUUUAAAAAAUAAUGCCACCCUAAAAUAAUACUUUACUUUGAAUAGCAAUUUUUGUUGUCGGAGUUUUUUAUUUUUGUCACACCAGACAGUUAGGUUCUUACCACAGCUUUAUUUGGAAACAUUAAGAGAUGAGCUCUGGCCGGGCACAGUGGCUCACACCUGUAAUCCCUGCACUUUGGGAGGCUGAGGCAGGUGGAUUACCUGUGGUCAGGAGUUUGAGACCAGCC
rnacentral:lncRNA from 10 species